UCCAGUAGCGUAGCCUCGAUAGAAGUGCAAAGAGGUGCCGAAAUCCAGGGCAGUGCAUGUUGGGAAAUGUAUUUCGUUGAAAGAGUGCACCAUUGUUGUGGUGUAGUCAUUCAAAGAACUACAUGUCUUCAAAUGCACUGCUCUGGAUUUCAGGAAGGGCUUAGAGCAGCAUUGCAGCAAGCUAGGCGACACCUAAACUGGGCACCCGCUGAGGCAGCCCGUGUGAUUUCCUGUUGCAUCCACUCCAGGGUAGCCUUGCUUGGAAUGCUGAUUGAUUGAUGAUUGGUGUCGACUCCUAGCGACCACAGAGAGAGAUUCUCGCCAGGAGGCUCUGUCUUCAGCUUGGCCCUUAAGGUGCUUGGGGUGCUGCAAGGACUAAAAUCUGCAGUUGCUGCGGCCUGAAGCCCGCUGAAGAAGGAACUGGAGCUCUCGCGCCUCUUCUGGGGGGGUGGGGUGUGACCCUUGCCUUCUCCACCCUUGCGGGGGCCGGGGGCGAUCAGGUACUGGAAUGACACUGCCAAUGGAUUCCCAGCCAUUUCUUCUUGCUGGUGGAGCGGAAGAGGCUUCAGUGCAACCAGAUCAAGGUCUGUUGACCUUUGAGGAGGUGGCCGUGCAUUUCACAGAGGAGGAGUGGGCUCUGCUGGAUCCGGACCAAAGAGCCCUGCACAGGACAGUCAUGGAGGAGAAUUAUGAGAACGUUUCCUUUCUGGGUAAGGCUCCCUCUUUUUCACUGAAGUCCGGGAGACUGGAAGAGGAAAAGAGAGGGGUCUGGUUUGCUGAAGUAAGUGGAAGGAUGGUGCCCAUAAUUAAGUUCAAUCCACAGGUGGGCCAGAGAACCAGUGUGCUAUAGCAGUCAGAGUGUUAAAGAGCUCGAAGAUCGGGGAUCAGAUACUCCUCAGGGAUGAAGCUCGUUGGGUGACUAUGAGCCAAUAAUCUCUCAGGCCAACCUUCCUCACAGGAGGAGUUUUUGUGAGGAUCAAAGAGGAGUCACGCAGUGGAGGAAACCCAAAGGAGAUUUCACCUGAUGGACUCUGAAGAUAUGAAGCUGGUUUAUUUGGGGUCAGAGCAUGGGUCCAUCUAAUUCAUUGUUCUCUUCACUGGCUGGCAGCAACCUUGCAGGGUUUCAGAUAGGGGUUAUUCCCAGUUGUACCUGAAGAUGCUGCCAGGGACUGAAACGGAGACCUUCUGCAGGUGCUCUGCCACUAGACUAUGGCCCCUGCCCUAAGGUGCCUGAGGGAGGGAGAUCUUGGUCUUCUUGAGAGGAGAGGGAGAUCUGGGAUCCAUGCAGAGACAUGUCCUAGGAGAAGGUUCCUCCUCUCAGCUAUGUGAUGAGAUUCAUCCCGAGCAGCAGAUUGCAAACAAAGUCCUGUGAAUUGCCUGCCCCCCAAGGAGAGUCUCCAUUUUUGGGCCCAGCACCUGAACCAAGACGGUAAAUCAAUUUUGUGCAUGGAUAGAUUGUGUGUACAGUAUAUCUCCUGCUCAGAUGCCCAAAGAGGUCUGUCUGUCUGUUCUGGAUUAAGUUCCAGCUUGUUCACACCCAUUGAAACUAUGACUGAUCCCCAAUCCCCACAGAGCUUCAGGAUCUCUGUAAUUCUCUGAUGAUGAUCUGGCUAUGAGGAAAGAAUUAUGUUGAAUCCCAUUCUGCAUCCACACUAUUCUCAAUACUUGACGAAAACAUGAGAUCUAGACGUUGGGACCUACAAACUGAGGCCCCAGCUGUCAAGCAGGCUUCGUAGAGAAUAUUGAAAUCUUGCAGGAUAAGUAGCCGGGUGGGAAUUCAGCUGUUAUGACACAUGAGCUGAAUAGGGAUGUGCACAGAACUGUUUUGGAGGUCCUUUAUGGUUCGUUGCCCCCUUGACUGUAAGUACCUGGAAAUACCUGAUGUGCCUGUGCGCAUCGGGCAUGUUUGUGCGUGUAUCAGGCACCUAAUGUGUGUGCAUCCGACAUGCAUGCAGGCAUGUCGGCUACUUCCCGUCAAGGGGGCAAUUGGGCGGCAGAGAGGUACGCUGCCGCCCUGACGGAUUUCCAAAAAACCAAGCACCAGCGGGGGGAAAGCAGAAGGAGGGGUCAUCUCUGCAGUGGGAGCGGAAGCAGUACAAAAGGGGAGGGCAAGACAAGCUUCUAAUGAACAAUCAAAUAUAUUAAAAAGAGAACUAGAAAUUACAUAUUGGUAGGGAACGGGGAAAAUAAACGUGGGGAAUUAGCAAAAUAAAGCAAUACAUGUAUUGAAAGCCCCUUGAGUUCUGGGAGAUGGAGCUGCUAGAGAGGAUGGUUUGGGGCCCAUGUUAGCACUGUCUAAAAUGGCUGAAAAUCAUAGUGAUGACCAGAAAGGAAAUUCCUAGAACAGGCGGUUUGGAAGGGAGGGGGAAACUGAUGAAGAAAGAGAGUGAUGGGGUAAGGGACGAGAGACUGAGGAGGAAAGUAGUGAAUGUGGGGAGGAAAAUCCAUGAGGCAAGCAAGCAGGAGUAGGCAAAUGAAGGGAUUUCUGAAUGAAUUGCAGCUGAGUUUUCACUGGAUGGAUGUAUGUAUUCCAUAGUGUGGGAUCUAACACUCAGAUGGUAGGGGGAGGGAGAAAGCAGAAAGGAGGCUUCGUUAGCCACGAAGGGUGAUGAAGAAAAGGAGAGAAGGGGUUUUUAAUGGGUGCUGCAUGGCACAGAGACAGUGCGUAGAGCACAAGAGGAGGAGUGAUCUGCUUGCGUCCAGGAGCAUUCCAUUGGCUUCACACAGAUGAAGGACACCACCUCCUGAAUAGAAGUCCUUUUCUGUGGUGGCCAUCUGAGCCAGUCACCAGCAUUCAUCGGUGGCAGGCCUUUUCCUCAGCUCAGCGUCUGGAGAAGAGCUGGUUGGAUGGCAGUUUUGACCAUUGUUUUGGCGAAAGGGGUCCCAGGACUCUGACUUUGGUUAGUAAAGAGUAGAGCAAUCUGAGAAACAAGAGGGGAAUGAUGGAAGACAUGUGAGGAGGGGUCCUAUUUGGGGGCAGCCAGAAAAACGUUUAUUGAGUCAGCUAGUCUGCAUCUGUGGUUUCAGCUCUGAGAGAAGUGGGGAGAAGGGACAGGAAGAAAAGACGGAUCUAGUGGUUUUGGCAGCUUAAUGGAGGGGGUUAUACUUUCUGUAUAGUGUUGCUGUGCUGGAAGGAAGAUGAUUGGAGAUCCGUUCAGCAAAAGGGAGCUCUGGGCAGCAAACGAGGGUCGUGGAGAGUGGUUGAUUGCAGAGCAGAGAAUCGGUUCCCUGGACCAAAGGGCAGUGACCCAUGCAGCCAAGGAACAAGUGGACAGACGUCAGUCUGGGGUAGCAGUGAAGCAACUCAAAUCCUGGCUCACAAGCUGGGUAGUUGUGCCCAUAUUGACUGAGUGUAACACAUGAUUUCUACAAAUUAGGCCUUUAGCCUUUUCUGAGGGAGAAGGGUGUGAGGCAACAGAAGGAUUUCCUCUUCUGGCUGCCCUAUGCCAAUAUGAUGAUCUUGCUCGUGUGGGUCCUAAAUUUCCUAGUCAUCAGUUACA